UCGGAGAGAGCGAGCGGUGGCUAAUAAGCAGGGAAAAGAGUAGAAAAGUUGAUUUUGCAGUUGAAAAACAUAACUUACCUGGUCGGGAACUGACAGGGAUUUUAUGAGAACUAAGCCACACCGGUUUUAGUCAGUUUUUUUUUGGUGUUGAAGCUCGGUCGGAGCGAGGAUUGGUCUGCAGCGUGCAGGCGUGCAUAGACUGGAUUCAAGAUGGCGAGCCAGGCCCAGAUCUUCAAUUCAUCUUCUCCAUCGCACCAGUGAGGUGACUCGCUGCCAGAGUGACACGUGAGUGACCGGAUGUGUGUAUGACCAGAGGAGCGAAAAUCGUUCCAGCGUGGGCCCCUACCACCCCAAGGACACACAUCUACACAACAACACCCUGUGGAUUGCAGCCCUGGAGUACUCCAAGGCACCAGAGAGGUACUCUCUGUGGAGAGCUACCAUGUGGAGGACUGCUACAUAGGGCAAGAAGGCAGAGGUAGGGGGAAGUUCUAGCUCUGCA